AGCACAGGCCUGUCUUUUCAGGUAAAACGUCUCCCCCUCCAACCCACCCACUGUCUUUUCAUUUAUCAUUAUGCCUAUGGAAGGGUAUGCAAUUUCAGCCUCUUGAAGUUUGAAAUUAGUUUCAUUAUCUUGUUUUGUUAAAUAAGAUUUCAUUAUUCUAUUGGCACAAUAAACCAAACUUUCCUUUAUUGAGCUUGUUUUUUAUUCAUGCUACUCCGACUUGUUGCCUAGAUUUGGGGAGUUUUGUAUGUGGCUUGUUUGCAUGAACAUUUAAGACUAGUUCUAUUAGUGUGUUCAUAGAGAUCCCGUGGGUUCUCUGUCAUCUUUCUUUGUGUGAUCAUUAUAAUCUAAAUAACAAAAUCCUGCAGUUGAAUGCUAUAAACUUUGCUGUUCUCCCUGAUGUGGUUGAUAGUUGAUUAAAUUAUCGUAUUCUAUAGGUUCCUGUUAUACAAUUUCUA
rnacentral:misc_RNA from 1 species